rnacentral:rRNA from 1 species
GAUGAACGCUGGCGGCGUGCCUAAUACAUGCAAGUCGAGCGAACGGACGAGAAGCUUGCUUCUCUGAUGUUAGCGGCGGACGGGUGAGUAACACGUGGAUAACCUACCUAUAAGACUGGGAUAACUUCGGGAAACCGGAGCUAAUACCGGAUAAUAUUUUGAACCGCAUGGUUCAAAAGUGAAAGACGGUCUUGCUGUCACUUAUAGAUGGAUCCGCGCUGCAUUAGCUAGUUGGUAAGGUAACGGCUUACCAAGGCAACGAUGCAUAGCCGACCUGAGAGGGUGAUCGGCCACACUGGAACUGAGACACGGUCCAGACUCCUACGGGAGGCAGCAGUAGGGAAUCUUCCGCAAUGGGCGAAAGCCUGACGGAGCAACGCCGCGUGAGUGAUGAAGGUCUUCGGAUCGUAAAACUCUGUUAUUGGGGAAGAACAUAUGUGUAAGUAACUGUGCACAUCUUGACGGUACCUAAUCAGAAAGCCACGGCUAACUACGUGCCAGCAGCCGCGGUAAUACGUAGGUGGCAAGCGUUAUCCGGAAUUAUUGGGCGUAAAGCGCGCGUAGGCGGUUUUUUAAGUCUGAUGUGAAAGCCCACGGCUCAACCGUGGAGGGUCAUUGGAAACUGGAAAACUUGAGUCCGAGAAGGAAAGUGGAUUCCAUGUGUAGCGGUGAAUUGCGCAGAGAUAGGAGGAACACCAGUGGCGAAGGGGACUUUCUGGUCUGUAACUGACGCUGAUGUGCGAAGGCGUGGGGAUCAAACAGGAUUAGAUACCCUGGUAGUCCACGCCGUAAACGAUGAGUGCUAAGUGUUAGGGGGUUUCCGCCCUUUAGUGCUGCAGCUAACGCAUUAAGCACUCCGCCUGGGGAGUACGACCGCAAGGUUGAAACUCAAAGGAAUUGACGGGGACCCGCACAAGCGGUGGAGCAUGUGGUUUAAUUCGAAGCAACGCGAAGAACCUUACCAAAUCUUGACAUCCUUUGACAACUCUAGAGAUAGAGCCUUCCCCUUCGGGGGACAAAGUGACAGGUGGUGCAUGGUUGUCGUCAGCUCGUGUCGUGAGAUGUUGGGUUAAGUCCCGCAACGAGCGCAACCCUUAAGCUUAGUUGCCAUCAUUAAGUUGGGCACUCUAAGUUGACUGCCGGUGACAAACCGGAGGAAGGUGGGGAUGACGUCAAAUCAUCAUGCCCCUUAUGAUUUGGGCUACACACGUGCUACAAUGGACAAUACAAAGGGCAGCGAAACCGCGAGGUCAAGCAAAUCCCAUAAAGUUGUUCUCAGUUCGGAUUGUAGUCUGCAACUCGACUACAUGAAGCUGGAAUCGCUAGUAAUCGUAGAUCAGCAUGCUACGGUGAAUACGUUCCCGGGUCU